rnacentral:rRNA from 1 species
GACGAACGCUGGCGGCGUGCUUAACACAUGCAAGUCGAACGGAAAGGCCCUGCUUUUGUGGGGUGCUCGAGUGGCGAACGGGUGAGUAACACGUGAGUAACCUGCCCUUGACUUUGGGAUAACUUCAGGAAACUGGGGCUAAUACCGGAUAGGAGCUCCUGCUGCAUGGUGGGGGUUGGAAAGUUUCGGCGGUUGGGGAUGGACUCGCGGCUUAUCAGCUUGUUGGUGGGGUAGUGGCUUACCAAGGCUUUGACGGGUAGCCGGCCUGAGAGGGUGACCGGCCACAUGGGGACUGAGAUACGGCCCAGACUCCUACGGGAGGCAGCAGUGGGGAAUAUUGAACAAUGGGCGGAAGCCUGAUGCAGCAACGCCGCGUGCGGAUGACGGCCUUCGGGUUGUAAACCGCUUUCGCCUGUGACGAAGCGUGAGUGACGGUAAUGGGUAAAGAAGCACCGGCUAACUACGUG